AGCUGGGUAGAGCAGUCUGGUAGCUUGUGGGGCUCAUAAUCCUAAGGUCGCAGGUUCGAAUCCUGCCCCAGCGC
rnacentral:tRNA from 1 species